rnacentral:rRNA from 1 species
GACGAACGCUGGCGGCGUGCCUAAUAUAUGCAAGUAGAACGCUGAAGAGAGGAGCUUACUCUUCUUGGAUGAGUUGCGAACGGGUGAGUAACGCGUAGGUAACCUGCCUUGUAGCGGGGGAUAACUAUUGGAAACGAUAGCUAAUACCGCAUAACAAUGGAUGACACAUGUCAUUUAUUUGAAAGGGGCAAUUGCUCCACUACAAGAUGGACCUGCGUUGUAUUAGCUAGUAGGUGAGGUAAUGGCUCACCUAGGCGACGAUACAUAGCCGACCUGAGAGGGUGAUCGGCCACACUGGGACUGAGACACGGCCCAGACGCCUACGGGAGGCAGCAGUAGGGAAGCUUCGGCAAUGGGGGCAACCCUGACCGAGCAACGCCGCGUGAGUGAAGAAGGUUUUCGGAUCGUAAAGCUCGGUUGUAAGUCAAGAACGGGUGUGAGAGUGGAAAGUUCACACUGUGACGGUAGCUUACCAGAAAGGGACGGCUAACUACGUG